rnacentral:rRNA from 1 species
GACGAACGCUGGCGGCGUGCUUAACACAUGCAAGUCGAACGGAAAGGCCCUGCUUUUGUGGGGUGCUCGAGUGGCGAACGGGUGAGUAACACGUGAGUAACCUGCCCUUGACUUUGGGAUAACUUCAGGAAACUGGGGCUAAUACCGGAUAGGAGCUCCUGCUGCAUGGUGGGCGUUGGAAAGUUUCGGCGGUUGGGGAUGGACUCGCGGCUUAUCCGCUUGUUGGUGGGGUAGUGGCUUACCAAGGCUUUGACGGGUAGCCGGCCUGGGCGGGUGACCGGCCACAUUGGGCCUGAGAUACGGCCCAGACUCCUACGGUACGCAGCAGUGGGGAAUAUUGCACAAUGGGCGGAAGCCUGAUGCAGCAACGCCGCGUGCGGUAUGACGUCCUUCGGGUUGUAAACCGCUUUCGCCUGUGACGAAGCGUGAGUGACGGUAAUGGGUAAAGAAGCACCGGCUAACUACGUG